CAGAGUUAAUGAAUGACAUUUAUGUGAUAGGUUAGAAGGAUAGCACGCCUUUAAACACUAUGCUCAGGACAGCGCCAAUAAAUAAUGAUAACUCAUAAGGUGAUGUCAUAUUAAAAAUAGUUAAAAAUAGGAAAGUUCUUAAAAUGUUAAAAAGGUUUGUAAUAAAUAUACAUUUACAUAAAAGCCUUCAGAACAA